UUGAACGCUGGCGGCAUGCCUUACACAUGCAAGUCGAACGGUAGAGGGGCAACCCUUGAGAGUGGCGAACGGGUGAGUAAUGCAUCGGAACGUGCCCAGUCGUGGGGGAUAACGCAGCGAAAGCUGUGCUAGUACCGCAUGUGAUCUGUGGAUGAAAGCAGGGGACCGCAAGGCCUUGCGCGAUUGGAGCGGCCGAUGUCAGAUUAGCUAGUUGGUAGGGUAAAAGCCUACCAAGGCGACG
rnacentral:rRNA from 1 species